GCCCUGGUGGUGCAGUGGUUAAAUGCAUGUAUUGAAACCAUGAGGUUGUGAGUUCAAUACCAGCCAAGGGCU